rnacentral:lncRNA from 1 species
AUGAAUUCUCUGAUGAUCACCAAUAUUGGAGGACUGCUGAGGACCAUUCUCACACUGACUGGAUUCAUCGGGAUUUUCUCCCAAAUGGAUACUCUCAUGUGUAAUAAGGUUUUAAAAAUAGGUACAAAUAUAAGGAAGAAACAUCAGAGCUACAGAAAUCAAGAUUCGCAAUUUCUGAACAAGAGGAAUUUCCCGAGAAAAGGAUGACGUGACCUGUGAACUGGGACUCAUGACUUACGGAGCACCCAGCCAUUUCUGCUCUUGCGUCGCCCUCUAGAUUUCUUUCUCACAAGGUUUCUGUGGAGAAAUCACAGCUGUGUCACAGGAACUGCUUUUAACAUCUCUGAGGGAGACUAUUCACCCAAAAAUGGCUCAGCUAUAGGCAGGAUCCUAAAAUGCAGAAAAGGCCCAAAUUCCUAGCCUUUGUGGCAGGAGCUAAUCAGAAACCGUGAGCUCCUGCUGGAAGAGCAAUCACUGCCUUUUCCUUCUCUGCUUUCAGGGAGGUCUCCCCUCCCACAGAUGCCCACAAAUUCGGCUUCAGUGUAGGAACCCUGUUCUCUAGGGACCUGACCCUGCAGACUCAUGGAGCAGAGACCCUCUUACCCCUCCAGGAGCCAAAGACCGCUCUCCACUCAUAAAAUAAGCCAAAGCCCUCUUGCUCACCGCUGGCCUCACUGAGAAUCACCUGGAGCCCGUAAUUAACACAACAAUGAUGUCUCCACCCAAACCGACAGACAGACUCUGAGGGGGAGGCCAACAGAUCAGAUCCUUUUGAAUCGUCCAACCUCAUCCUAUAGGGAAGCAUCUGGGAGGACACCAUGCAAAGCAGGGGAACCAAGGCUGGAGCUGGGAGCACAGUUCGAGAGCCCUGUUUUCUCCAGACUAGAGUUUCUGGAGAUUGCCUCCUUCUCCCCUAUCCGCUACAAGAGGGAGACACAUGACAGACGAAACUUUCCCAUAUAAAUGCAAAUGUCUCGUUCAAAGUAAACACAGGAUUUCAGAGUUUUUCCUUUAUCCUCUGUUUAUUUAAAAUACCAGUCUAAAAUAAUCUUGAGACCAAGGAGACACCUUUUAGGGGACAAAUUGCUCCCCUUCCAUAGGUAAAUGUUUAUUUUCAUAACCACCUGCCACACAAUUUUCCAAAGUGAAUGUAUGUUUUUACCCUCCAAUCAGCAAUAUGAGAAUUCUUUUUUUUUUUUUUAUAUGACAGAUUCCAAGUAGGCAGAGCAGCAG